rnacentral:ncRNA from 1 species
ACUGCGGAUAGGCCGGCCAGCCGAAAGCGCGCGUCCUGGGCGCGUUUCCGCAGUCCCUCACACCCAGG